GGUUUCGUGGCCCAAUGGCAAGGCGUCUGACUACGAUUGCGAUUCAUGAGUUUUGAAUAAAAGAUUCCUGGAGAGCGUGUUGUUAUCAGGAGAUUCUGGGUUCGACCCCCAGCGAGAUCA